rnacentral:rRNA from 1 species
UACGUAGGUGGCAAGCGUUGUCUGGAUUUACUGGGCGUAAAGGGAGCGUAGGCGGAUGUUUAAGUGGGAUGUGAAAUACUCGGGCUCAACUUGAGUGCUGCAUUCCAAACUGGAUAUCUAGAGUGCAGGAGAGGAAAGGAGAAUUCCUAGUGUAGCGGUGAAAUGCGUAGAGAUUAGGAAGAAUACCAGUGGCGAAGGCGCCUUUCUGGACUGUAACUGACGCUGAGGCUCGAAAGCGUGGGGAGCAAACAGGAUUAGA